rnacentral:misc_RNA from 1 species
GCCCUCCAUCAGUACCAAACUCAUUGAAUCUAUAAACAAGAAUAACAAUGAUGAUCCACAAUGAAAUUAACAGCCAGGAUAAUAAGCAGACAGUUACAACUAUAACACAUCUUUUAACAUCUUUGUACAUGAGAAGCAUUUGGUGAACAUGAAGGAUGAGAUCNNNAAGCAGAAUGAUCAGCACACAUUACCAUUCAAAUGCCAUAAAGAAUUAUAAAAAUCGGUAUUAAAUGACAAUGGCAAGUUAAUAUGAAAGAGGAAAGGACAGUAUAGAAC